rnacentral:rRNA from 1 species
CCUACGGGUGGCUGCAGUGGGGAAUAUUGCACAAUGGGCGCAAGCCUGAUGCAGCCAUGCCGCGUGUGUGAAGAAGGCCUUCGGGUUGUAAAGCACUUUCAGCGGGGAGGAAGGCGGUGAGGUUAAUAACCUCAUCGAUUGACGUUACCCGCAGAAGAAGCACCGGCUAACUCCGUGCCAGCAGCCGCGGUAAUACGGAGGGUGCAAGCGUUAAUCGGAAUUACUGGGCGUAAAGCGCACGCAGGCGGUCUGUCAAGUCGGAUGUGAAAUCCCCGGGCUCAACCUGGGAACUGCAUUCGAAACUGGCAGGCUAGAGUCUUGUAGAGGGGGGUAGAAUUCCAGGUGUAGCGGUGAAAUGCGUAGAGAUCUGGAGGAAUACCGGUGGCGAAGGCGGCUCUCUGGCCUGUAACUGACGCUGAGGCGCGAAAGCGUGGGGAGCGAGCAGGAUUAGAUACCCGGGUAGUC